UCCCUAGCUAUUACAAUGUAUUGCUUUGUGUUAUAGGUUACUUUAUACAACAUUUUAGUUUCUUGAUGUAGUGCAGAUGAACUCUGUCACUGUUGACUCGAGGCCAAAGUGCUUGGUUGGUAUUAUUUUUUAUGGUUACCCUUCUUAUUCUAGAAUGUAUGCAGAAGAAACAAGUUACUACUUUUUCUCUAGGUGAUUGAUGAAAUAGAUGGAGCUCUUGGUGAUGGCAAAGGUGCUAUGGAGGUUAUUCUAAAGAUGGUUUCUGCAGAUAAGAAGUCUGAUACAGGGAAGGAGAAUUUUCCAAAUGAAGAAAAUCAUGAAAGUACAUAGAAAGUUUAUCAUUCAUAUGGAGUUUCCUUUUCAUGAUUCCCUGGAAAAUGGGUUCAUAUAUUUGUUCAACCAACAGUUAAUCGUGUUGUCAGCAGGUGAUCCUUGACUACCAUGGCUGAUGUUUAAUUGCUGUGACAAUUUCAAGCCUUUCCAUUUCUGA